rnacentral:rRNA from 1 species
AGUGAACGCUGGCGGUAGGCCUAACACAUGCAAGUCGAACGGCAGCACAGUAAGAGCUUGCUCUUACGGGUGGCGAGUGGCGGACGGGUGAGGAAUACAUCGGAAUCUACUUUUUCGUGGGGGAUAACGUAGGGAAACUUACUCUAAUACCGCAUACGACCUACGGGUGAAAGCAGGGGAUCUUCGGACCUUGCGCGAUUGAAUGAGCCGAUGUCGGAUUAGCUAGUUGGCGGGGUAAAGGCCCACCAAGGCGACGAUCCGUAGCUGGUCUGAGAGGAUGAUCAGCCACACUGGAACUGAGACACGGUCCAGACUCCUACGGGAGGCAGCAGUGGGGAAUAUUGGACAGUGGGCGCAAGCCUGAUCCAGCCAUACCGCGUGGGUGAAGAAGGCCUUCGGGUUGUAAAGCCCUUUUGUUGGGAAAGAAAAGCAGCAGGUUAAUACCCCGCUGUUCUGACGGUACCCAAAGAAUAAGCACCGGCUAACUUCGUG